rnacentral:lncRNA from 1 species
GUGGUGGAGUUUUGCUGUAUGUACACAUUUUAUCUUAAUGGUGUCAAUGCAAUUUGGCCUUCCCUGCAGUGUUUUUGUUUUUGUUUUUGUUUUUUUAGAGAUGAGAUCUUGCUCUGUUGCCCAGGCUGGAAUGCAGCUGUGCGGUCAUACCUCACUGUAGCCUCGAACUCCUGGGCCUAGUAUCUGGAACUUCAGGUGCGCACCCCCGUGCCCUGCCAACCACAGUUUUACUUGGUGGAAAUUAUGCUGACAUGAAAGAAUGAAGAGAAGAUACUAAGAUCGUAAACCUGGGAGAAGAAAUGUAAAUAGAGGAAGUUGGUGGCAGCUACUCAAGAAUGCAGCCACACAAUUUAGGAAAGAGCUAGAGGAAAAGGUUUAGGGAAAUAAUGAAAAAGGAACAAUUAAGUAAAAAUUGCAUCCCUCAAGCAAUGCAGAAAAUGCUCUUGGCCCUAAAAG